UAGGGAAUAUUGAUAAUCUGGGAAACCGGGAACCAGCAACGCCGCGUGCGCGAUGAAGGCCUUCGGGUUGUAAAGCGCUUUUUGAAGGGAUGAGGAAGGACAGUACCCUCAGAAUAAGCCUCGGCUAACUACGUGCCAGCAGCCGCGGUAAAACGUAGGAGGCGAGCGUUAUCCGGAUUUACUGGGCGUAAAGCGUGUGUAGGCGGUUUGAUAAGUUGGAUGUGAAAGCUCCCGGCUCAACUGGGAGAGGUCGUUCAAAACUAUCAGACUAGAGAGUGGUAGAGGGAGGUGGAAUUCCGCGUGUAGUGGUGAAAUGCGUAGAUAUGCGGAGGAACACCAGUGGCGAAAGCGGCCUCCUGGCCCAUUUCUGACGCUCAGACACGAAAGCUUAGGUAGCAAACGG
rnacentral:rRNA from 1 species